rnacentral:rRNA from 1 species
AGUCGAACGGACAUGUCUUUCGGGAUAUGUUAGUGGCAGACGGGAGCGUAACACGUGGGUGACCUGCCCUGGAGUGGGGAAUAACUAUCCUAACGGAUAGCUAAUACCGCAUAUGCUCGAUGAUUCAUUUUGUCGAGUAAAGUCGUAAGGCGCUUCAGGAUGGGCCUGCGGCGGAUUAGGUAGUUGGUGGGGUAAUGGCCUACCAAGCCGAUGAUCCGUAGGGGGCGUGAGAGCGUGGCCCCCCACACUGGCACUGAGAUACGGGCCAGACUCCUACGGGAGGCAGCAGUGAGGAAUAUUGCGCAAUGGGCGAAAGCCUGACGCAGCAACGCCGCGUGAGGGACGAAGGCCUUCGGGUCGUAAACCUCUUUUCUGGGGAAAGAGCAAGGACGGUACCUCAGGAAUAAGUCUCGGCUAACUACGUGCCAGCAGCCGCGGUAAAACGUAGGAGGCGAGCGUUAUCCGGAUUUACUGGGCGUAAAGCGCACGCAGGCGGCUUCGUUAGUCGGGUGUGAAAGCUCCUAGCUUAACUGGGAGAGGCCAUUCGAUACUGCGAGGCUUGAGGUUGGGAGAGGGGUGUGGAAUUCCCGGUGUAGUGGUGGAAUGCGUAGAUAUCGGGAGGAACACCUGUGGCGAAAGCGGCACCCUGGCCCACACCUGACGCUGAGGUGCGAAAGCGUGGGGAGUAAACAGGAUUAGAUACCCUGGUAAUCCACGCUGUAACGAUGUCACUGGGUGUCGGUAGCUUUACGCUAUCGGUGCCGAAGCAACGCGUUAAGUUGACCGCCUGGGGACUACGGCCGC